rnacentral:rRNA from 1 species
GACGAACGCUGGCGGCGUGCUUAACACAUGCAAGUCGAACGAAGAGCGAUGGAAGCUUGCUUCUCUCAAUCUUAGUGGCGAACGGGUGAGUAACGCGUAAUCAACCUGCCCUUCAGAGGGGGACAACAGUUGGAAACGACUGCUAAUACCGCAUACGAUCUAACCUCGGCAUCGAGGAUAGAUGAAAGGUGGCCUCUACAUGUAAGCUAUCACUGAAGGAGGGGAUUGCGUCUGAUUAGCUAGUUGGAGGGGUAACGGCCCACCAAGGCGAUGAUCAGUAGCCGGGCGGAGAGGAUGACCGGCCCCAUUGGGACUGAGACACGGCCCAGACGCCUACGGGAGGCAGCAGUGGGGAAUCUUCCGGAAUGGACGAAAGUCUGACGGAGCAACGCCGCGGGAGUGAUGACGGCCGUCGGGUUGUAAAGCUCGGUUAAUCGGGACGAAAGGCCUUCUUGCGAAUAGUUAGAAGGAUUGACGGUACCGGAAUAGAAAGCCACGGCUAACUACGUG